rnacentral:tRNA from 1 species
GCCCCCGUAGCUCAGUGGAUAGAGCAGUGGUUUCCGAAGCCAUGUGCGCAGGUUCAAUUCCCGCCGGGGGUA